UUAAAAAGGUUAUAAAAAUUAAAAAUGUAUUCAUUUAAAAAAAACUAUUGAAUAAUUAUAUUUUAACUUGUAUUUUUUGUAAAAAAACAACGUUAAAAAUUUCUCCUUUUAGUGGUGGUCAAACGCACCGCGCUUAAAAACAUUUAAUAUUAAACGUGAGCCCAACUUUUUCAGUUACCUAUUCCUUUAUAUUGUAUUAUAUUUGUAUCGAUUAGUAAAUCAGUCAGCAUUCGUCGAAUAGUCUAUUAUUUAUUAAUUCAGUGAUAUAAAGUUAUUAUUAAAGUAUGGGAAUAGUAGGGUCGCAUUUGACGCGAAACUUGAGGAGAUUUAACGUAGUUGGUCGAACAGAACGCGUGAUUGACAAGGAAAAACCAACACGGGCUCCACUACACAAAGCCGAUGCCGAAAGGAUCAAACAAAUGAUCAAAGACGAUCCUAAAAUGAAAGAAGAAUUGCUCAAUAAAAGUUCAGUACACGAGGGCAAUUUAAAAGAUGUUUACGUCACGUCCACCGGCGAUCUUCCCGAUGUUUACACCGGUUCGAAAGCCAAACUUCCGAAAAAUCGAGAACAAGUGUUUGCGUCCGGUUUCCUAAUGGAAGAGCCGACCGACGUGCCUAAAGGACGGUAUACGUUAACGCAAAUAGUCCAGUGUAUAUCCGACCAUCACGGAGACAAAAACCAAUUUACGGCCGAAAUUUUAGCCAAAAAAAUCAACAUUGACGUAAAAACUAUGGAAAAUAUAUUGAAAUACUACCGAGUGUUCGAUAUCCACAUACCCGACAAAAGCGUGAUAGAAAAGCAAACGUCGUCGCCUAAACAAGCGCUGCUCAGUAUUUUCAACUCGCUCAAAGACGAUUUGAUGUUGGAAAAACCCACAAAGAAACCAAAAGCUAUAGAAAAAGAUUAGAAAGUAUAAUAAGUACCAUUGUUAAUUGUUUAUGAAAAGUCGAGUGUUUGAGUAAUAUAAUUAUUUUGAUUUGUAUUUGUCGUGUGUAAAUUCGUCGUUGACCUUCGAGUUGAUGAUCACCAAAGACUGUUGACAAUUGAGUAAUGAUCGGCAGACGGAAAAUUUUCAGCGUUUAAAAUUUACAUUCUAUUCUUAAACCGUGUUGGUUUUGUGUUAACAAUCAUUAUAGUAACAUGAUUUAUGUCAAAUAUAAAGAAAACCUAUAAGAAAUAAUAUUAUUUGACUUACACUUAAAUUUUAUUAAGUUUAAGACCAAAAUGUAACUGUUUUAAACGCUGAAAAUGAG